rnacentral:rRNA from 1 species
AGAGUUUGAUCAUGGCUCAGGACGAACGCUGGCGGCGUGCUUAACACAUGCAAGUCGAACGGAAAGGCCCCUUCGGGGGUACUCGAGUGGCGAACGGGUGAGUAACACGUGGGUGAUCUGCCCUGCACUUUGGGAUAAGCCUGGGAAACUGGGUCUAAUACCGAAUAGGACCGCAUGCUUCAUGGUGUGUGGUGGAAAGCUUUUGCGGUGUGGGAUGGGCCCGCGGCCUAUCAGCUUGUUGGUGGGGUAAUGGCCUACCAAGGCGACGACGGGUAGCCGGCCUGAGAGGGUGUCCGGCCACACUGGGACUGAGAUACGGCCCAGACUCCUACGGGAGGCAGCAGUGGGGAAUAUUGCACAAUGGGCGCAAGCCUGAUGCAGCGACGCCGCGUGGGGGAUGACGGCCUUCGGGUUGUAAACCUCUUUCAGUAUCGGCGAAGCUCCAGGAUUUUUCUUGGGGUGACGGUAGGUACAGAAGAAACACCGGCCAACUACGUGCCAGCAGCCGCGGUAAUACGUAGGGUGCGAGCGUUGUCCGGAAUUACUGGGCGUAAAGAGCUCGUAGGUGGUUUGUCACGUUGUCUGUGAAAACUCACAGCUUAACUGUGGGCGUGCGGGCGAUACGGGCAGACUGGAGUACUGUAGGGGAGACUGGAAUUCCUGGUGUAGCGGUGGAAUGCGCAGAUAUCAGGAGGAACACCGGUGGCGAAGGCGGGUCUCCGGGCAGUAACUGACGCUGAGGAGCGAAAGCGUGGGGAGCGAACAGGAUUAGAUACCCUGGUAGUCCAA